rnacentral:rRNA from 1 species
AUUGAACGCUGGCGGCAUGCCUUACACAUGCAAGUCGAACGGUAACAGGUCUUCGGAUGCUGACGAGUGGCGAACGGGUGAGUAAUACAUCGGAACGUGCCCGAUCGUGGGGGAUAACGAGGCGAAAGCUUUGCUAAUACCGCAUACGAUCUACGGAUGAAGGCGGGGGAUCUUCGGACCUCGCGCGGACGGAGCGGCCGAUGGCAGAUUAGGUAGUUGGUGGGAUAAAAGCUUACCAAGCCGACGAUCUGUAGCUGGUCUGAGAGGAUGAUCAGCCACACUGGGACUGAGACACGGCCCAGACUCCUACGGGAGGCAGCAGUGGGGAAUUUUGGACAAUGGGCGAAAGCCUGAUCCAGCCAUGCCGCGUGCAGGAUGAAGGCCUUCGGGUUGUAAACUGCUUUUGUACGGAACGAAAAGCCUCUUUCUAAUAAAGAGGCGUCAUGACGGUACCGUAAGAAUAAGCACCGGCUAACUACGUG